rnacentral:rRNA from 1 species
UGGGGAAUUUUGCACAAUGGGGGAAACCCUGAUGCAGCGACGCCGCGUGAUUUAGAAGGCCUUCGGGUUGUAAAAAUCUUUUCUAUGGGAAGAAAAUGACAGUACCAUAGGAAUAAGGACCGGCUAAUUACGUGCCAGCAGCCGCGGUAAUACGUAAGGUCCGAGCGUUGUCCGGAAUCAUUGGGCGUAAAGGGUACGUAGGCGGGUAAGCAAGUUAGAAGUGAAAUCCUAUAGCUCAACUAUAGUAAGCUUUUAAAACUGCUCAUCUUGAGGUAUGGAAAGGAAAGUGGAAUUCCUAGUGUAGCGGUGAAAUGCGCAGAUAUUAGGAGGAAUACCGGUGGCGAAGGCAACUUUCUGGCCAUAGCCUGACGCUGAGGUACGAAAGCGUGGGUAGCAAACAGG